UACGUAGGUGGCAAGCGUUGUCCGGAAUUAUUGGGCGUAAAGAGCUCGUAGGCGGUUUGUCGCGUCUGCUGUGAAAACGCGAGGCUCAACCUCGCGCCUGCAGUGGGUACGGGCAGACUAGAGUGCGGUAGGGGAAGAUUGGAAUUCCUGGUGUAGCGGUGGAAUGCGCAGAUAGUCAGGAGGAACCACCGAUGGCGAAGGCAGAUCUCUGGGCCGUUA
rnacentral:rRNA from 1 species